UGCGCAGGCGGCUUAUUAAGUCAGUGGUGAAAUCUCUCGGCUCAACCGAGAAACUGCCAUUGAAACUGAUAAGCUUGAGUAUAGUUGUAGUAGGCGGAAUAUAGCAUGUAGCGGUGAAAUGCUUAGAUAUGCUAUAGAACACCGAUCGCGAAGGCAGCUUACUAAACUAUUACUGACGCUCAUGCACGAAAGCGUGGGGAGCAAACAGGAUUAGAUACCCUGGUAGUC
rnacentral:rRNA from 1 species